AUUAAACGCUGGCGGCAUGCCUUACACAUGCAAGUCGAACGGCAGCACGGGGGCAACCUUGGUGGCGAGUGGCGAACGGGUGAGUAAAGCAUCGGAACGUGCCCUGGAGUGGGGGAUAACGUAGCGAAAGUUACGCUAAUACCGCAUAUUCUGUGAGCAGGAAAGCAGGGGAUCGCAAGACCUCGCGCUCUGGGAGCGGCCGAUGUCGGAUUAGCUAGUUGGUGGGGUAAAGGCCUACCAAGGCGACGAUCCGUAGCGGGUCUGAGAGGAUGAUCCGCCACACUGGGACUGAGACACGGCCCAGACUCCUACGGGAGGCAGCAGUGGGGAAUUUUGGACAAUGGGCGAAAGCCUGAUCCAGCCAUGCCGCGUGAGUGAAGAAGGCCU
rnacentral:rRNA from 1 species